GGGUUUGAUCCUGGCUCAGAACGAACGCUGGCGGCGUGGUUGAUACAUGCAAGUCGAACGGGAACGAGUCCUUCGGGACUUUAGUAUAGUGGUGGACGGGUGAGUAACGCGUGAUUAAUUUGCCCUUAGGAGGGGGAUAGCCAUUCGAAAGGAUGUGUAAUACCCCAUAAGACCACGGUAUCGUAUGGUACUGAGGUAAAAAGGUUGGGAUUUUUGGACCUUCCGCCUAGGGAUGAAAUCGCGUCCUAUUAGCUUGUUGGUGAGGUAAUGGCUCACCAAGGCUUUGAUGGGUAGCCGGCCUGAGAGGGUGAAUGGUUACACUGGAAUUGAGAUAUGGUCCAGACUCCUAUGGGAGGCAGUAGUGCUGAAUUAUUCGCCAAUGUGCGAAAGCGUGAUGGUGCGACGCCGCGUGCGGGAUGAAGGCCUUUGGGUUGUAAACCGCUGUCAGGGUCUCGGAAACUACAGACGUUAAUAGCGGCUGUACUGACUAGACCCAAAGGAAGCACAGGUUAAUCUCGUGCCAGUAGUUGUGGUAAUACGAGAUGUGCAAGCGUUGUUCGGAAUCACUGGGCAUAAAGGGUGCGCAGGCUGCUUUAUAAGUCAGGAGUGAAAUCCCACGGUUUAACCGUGGAACUGCUCUUGAUACUGUAAAGCUUGAGAGUGAAAGGGGCAAGUGGAAUUCCAGGUGUAGCGGUGGAAUGCGUAGAUAUCUGGGAGAACGCCAAUGGUGAAGGCAACUUGCUGGGUUACUUCUGACGCUCAUGCACGAAAGCUAGGGGAGUAAACAGGAUUAGAUACCCUGGUAGUCCUAGCCGUAAACGAUGGAUACUAGGUUUUGGAAGCUUUGAUGUUUUCAGAGCCGUAGCUAAUGCGUUAAGUAUCCCGCCUGGGGAGUAUGGUCGUAAGGCUAAAAUUUAAAGGAAUUGACGGGGGCUCACACAAGCGGUGGAGCAUGUUGUUUAAUUCGAAUUAAUGUGAAGAACUUUACCAGGACUUGACAUGUACAAAGUAGUGAACCGAAAGGGGAUCGAUUGGUAUUUAGUCCAAAAUGUACAUAGGUGCUGCAUGGCUGUCGUCAGCUCGUGUCGUGAGACGUUAGGUUAAGUUCUGUAACGAGCGAAACCCCUGUCGUCUGUUGCUACCAGGUUAUGCUGGGCACUCUGGCGAGACUGCCGGUGUUAAACCGGAGGAAGGCGGGGACGACGUCAAGUCAUCAUGGUCCUUACGUCCUGGGCUACAAACGUGCUACAAUGGCUGGUAUAGAGAGAAGCGAUACCGUGAGGUGGAGCAAAUCUUCAAAACCAGCCCCAGUUCGGAUUGGAGGCUGUAAUUCGCCUCCAUGAAGUUGGAAUCGCUAGUAAUCGCGGAUUAGUAACGCCGCGGUGAAUAUGUUCCUGAGCCUUGUAUAUAUUGCCCGUCAAGCCACCCAAGCUGGAAGCACCCGAAGUCCGGCGUUAAUAGUCCGGCCGAAGGUGAGUCUGGUGAGGGGGACUAAGUCGAAAUAAGGUA
rnacentral:rRNA from 1 species